rnacentral:rRNA from 1 species
AGCGAACGCUGGCGGCAGGCCUAACACAUGCAAGUCGAACGAACCUUUCGGGGUUAGUGGCGGACGGGUGAGUAACACGUGGGAACGUGCCUUUAGGUUCGGAAUAACUCAGGGAAACUUGUGCUAAUACCGAAUGUGCCCUUCGGGGGAAAGAUUUAUCGCCUUUAGAGCGGCCCGCGUCUGAUUAGCUAGUUGGUUGAGGUAAUGGCUCACCAAGGCGACGAUCAGUAGCUGGUCUGAGAGGAUGAUCAGCCACAUUGGGACUGAGACACGGCCCAAACUCCUACGGGAGGCAGCAGUGGAGAAUCUUGCGCAAUGGGCGAAAGCCUGACGCAGCCAUGCCGCGUGAAUGAUGAAGGUCUUAGGAUUGUAAAAUUCUUUCACCGGGGACGAUAAUGACGGUACCCGGAGAAGAAGCCCCGGCUAACUUCGUG